GGCCGCGGGAAUUCGAUUCAGGCCUAACACAUGCAAGUCGAACGAUGAAGCCCAGCUUGCUGGGUGGAAGAGUGGCGAACGGGUGAGUAACAUGUGAGUAACCUGCCCUGAACUCUGGGAUAAGCACUGGAAACGGUGUCUAAUACUGGAUACGACCUAUCACCGCAUGGUGUGUGGGUGGAAAGAUUUAUCGGUUUUGGAUGGACUCGCGGCCUAUCAGCUAGAUGGUGAGGUAAUGGCUCACCAUGGCGACGACGGGUAGCCGGCCUGAGAGGGUGACCGGCCACACUGGGACUGAGACACGGCCCAGACUCCUACGGGAGGCAGCAGUGGGGAAUAUUGCACAAUAAGGGCAAGCCUGAUGCAGCAACGCCGCGUGAGGGAUGAAAGGGUUCGGGUUGUAAACCUCUUUUAGUAGGGAAGAAGCGAG
rnacentral:rRNA from 1 species